GUGGGGAAUAUUGCACAAUGUGCGCAAGCCUGAUGCAGCAACGCCGCGUGAGGGACGACGGCCUUCGGGUUGUAAACCUCUUUUAGCAGGGAAGAAGCGAAAGUGACGGUACCUGCAGAAAAAGCACCGGCUAACUACGUGCCAGCAGCCGCGGUAAUACGUAGGGUGCAAGCGUUGUCCGGAAUUAUUGGGCGUAAAGAGCUCGUAGGCGGUUUGUCGCGUCUACUGUGAAAACCCGAGGCUCAACCUCGGGCCUGCAGUGGGUACGGGCAGACUAGAGUGCGGUAGGGGAGAUUGGAAUUCCUGGUGUAGCGGUGGAAUGCGCAGAUAUCAGGAGGAACACCGAUGGCGAAGGCAGAUCUCUGGGCCGUAACUGACGCUGAGGAGCGAAAGCGUGGGGAGCGAACAGGAUUAGAUACCCCUGUAGUCC
rnacentral:rRNA from 1 species